GUAAUACAUCGGAACGUGUCCUGUAGUGGGGGAUAGCCCGGCGAAAGCCGGAUUAAUACCGCAUACGCUCUACGGAGGAAAGGGGGGGAUCGCAAGACCUCCCGCUACAGGGGCGGCCGAUGGCAGAUUAGCUAGUUGGUGGGGUAAAGGCCUACCAAGGCGACGAUCUGUAGCUGGUCUGAGAGGACGACCAGCCACACUGGGACUGAGACACGGCCCAGACUCCUACGGGAGGCAGCAGUGGGGAAUUUUGGACAAUGGGCGAAAGCCUGAUCCAGCAAUGCCGCGUGUGUGAAGAAGGCCUUCGGGUUGUAAAGCACUUUUGUCCGGAAAGAAAACCUUCGGGUUAAUACCCUGGGGGGAUGACGGUACCGGAAGAAUAAGCACCGGCUAACUACGUGCCAGCAGCCGCGGUAAUACGUAGGGUGCAAGCGUUAAUCGGAAUUACUGGGCGUAAAGCGUGCGCAGGCGGUCCGCUAAGACAGAUGUGAAAUCCCCGGGC
rnacentral:rRNA from 1 species